rnacentral:tRNA from 1 species
GCGACGUAGCUCAGUUGGUAGAGCUAGGGAUUCAUAAGCCCUCGGUCACUGGUUCGAGUCCAGUCGUCGCC